rnacentral:rRNA from 1 species
AGUGGAUGGGGAGCAACCUAGUUGUGCGUGUGUAAAGGUAGUGCCAAGAAAAGCGAUGAUCAUGUUGAAAAUCAAUUCCCGGUACCCGAAACCGACACAGGUGGGCAAGUAGAGAAUACUAAGGGGCGCGAGGUAACUCUCUCCAAGGAACUCGGCAAAAUGACCCCGUAACUUAGGGAGAAGGGGUGCCACCGAGAGGUGGUCGCAGUGAAGAGGCCCAGGCGACUGUUUAGCAAAAACAUAGGUCUCUGCAAACUCGAAAGAGGAGGUAUAGGGGCUGACGCCUGCCCAGUGCCGGAAGGUUAAAGAAGUUGGUCAGUUUUAGGAUGAAGCUAGCGACUGAAGCCCCGGUGAACGGCGGCCGUAACUAUAACGGUCCUAAGGUAGCGAAAUUCCUUGUCGGGUAAGUUCCGACCCGCACGAAAGGCGUAACGAUCUGGGCGCUGUCUCGGAGAGAGGCUCGGCGAAAUAGGAUUGUCUGUGAAGAUACGGACUACCUGCAUUUGGACAGAAAGACCCUAUGAAGCUUUACUAUAGCUUGGAAUUGUGUUCGGGCUUCCUGUGCGCAGGAUAGGUGGGAGGCGUAGAAGGUAUUCUUGUGGGGAUACUGGAGCCAACGGUGAGAUACCACUCUCAGGAGGCUAGAAUUCUAACUUAAUUAAGGACAGUUUCAGGUGGGUAGUUUGACUGGGGCGGUCGCCUCCGAAAAAGGUAACGGAGGCGUACAAAGGUUCCCUCAGACUGGUUGGAAAUCAGUCGAAGAGUGCAAAGGCAGAAGGGAGCUUGACUGCGAGAAGUACAGUUCGAGCAGGGUGGAAACACGGUCUUAGUGAUCCGACGGUGCUGUGUGGAAGGGCCGUCGCUCAACGGAUAAAAGUUACCCUAAGGAUAACAGGCCGAUCUCCCCCAAGAGUUCACAUCGACGGGGAGGUUUGGCACCUCGAUGUCGGCUCAUCGCAACCUGGGGCGGAAGUACGUCCCAAGGGUUGGGCUGUUCGCCCAUUAAAGCGGUACGUGAGCUGGGUUCAGAACGUCGUGAGACAGUUCGGUCCAUAUCCGAUGUAGGCGUGAGAAUAUUGAGAGGAGCCUUCCUUAGUACGAGAGGACCGGGAAGGACGCACCGCUGGUGUACCUGUUAUGAUGCCAAUUGUAAACGCAGGGUAGCCAAGUGCGGAGAGGAUAACCGCUGAAAGCAUCUAAGUGGGAAGCCCACCUCAAGAUGAGUAUUCUGGUGUAAGGUCACGGGAAGACGACCCGUAAAUAGGCACGAGGUGGAAGUGCAGAGAUGUAUGAAGCCGAAGUGUACUAAUAGACCGUCGGCUU